UCUGGGACAAGCCCUGGAAACGGGGUCUAAUACCGGAUACUGAACCUGCCUGGGCAUCCAGGGGGUUCGAAAGCUCCGGGGGUGCAGGAUGAGCCCGCGGCCUAUCAGCUUGUUGGUGAGGUAAUGGCUCACCAAGGCGACGACGGGUAGCCGGCCUGAGAGGGCGACCGGCCACACUGGGACUGAAACACGGCCCAAACUCCUACGGGAGGCAGCAGUGGGGAAUAUUGCACAAUGGGCGCAAGCCUGAUGCAGCGACGCCGCGUGAGGGAUGACGGCCUUCGGGUUGUAAACCUCUUUCAGCAGGGAAGAAGCGAAAGUGACGGUACCUGCAAAAAAAGCGCCGGCUAACUACGUGCCAGCAGCCGCGGUAAUACGUAGGGCGCGAGCGUUGUCCGGAAUUAUUGGGCGUAAAGAGCUCGUAGGCGGUUUGUCACGUCGGUUGUGAAAGCCCGGGGCUUAACCCCGGGUCUGCAGUCGAUACGGGCAGGUUAGAGUUCGGUAGGGGAGAUCGGAAUUCCUGGUGUAGCGGUGAAAUGCGCAGAUAUCAGGAGGAACACCGGUGGCGAAGGCGGAUCUCUGGGCCGAUACUGACGCUGAGGAGCGAAAGCGUGGGGAGCGAACAGGAUUAGAUACCCUGGUAGUCCACGCCGUAAACGGUGGGCACUAGGUGUGGGCGACAUUCCACGUCGUCCGUGCCGCAGCUAACGCAUUAAGUGCCCCGCCUGGGGAGUACGGCCGCAAGGCUAA
rnacentral:rRNA from 1 species